UACAGAGGUCUCAAGCGUUGUUCGGAUUCAUUGGGCGUAAAGGGUGCGUAGGUGGCGCCGUAAGUCGGGUGUGAAAUUUCGGAGCUUAACUCCGAAACUGCAUUCGAUACUGCGGUGCUUGAGGACUGGAGAGGAGACUGGAAUUCAUGGUGUAGCAGUGAAAUGCGUAGAGAUCAUGAGGAAGACCAGUGGCGAAGGCGGCUCACUGGCCCGGAACUGACGCUGAGACGCGAAAGCGUGGGGAGCAAACAGG
rnacentral:rRNA from 1 species